rnacentral:tRNA from 1 species
GAGGGUAGAGCUCAAUGGUAGAGGGAAUGCUUAGCAUGCACCAGGUCCUGGGUUCAAUCCCCGGUACCACCA